UACGUAGGGGGCAAGCGUUGUCCGGAUUUAUUGGGCGUAAAGAGCUCGUAGGCGGCUUGUUGCGUCGACUGUGAAAACCCGCGGCUUAACUGCGGGCUUGCAGUUGAUACGGGCAGGCUAGAGUUCGGGAGAGGAGCGUGGAAUUCCCAGUGUAGAGGUGAAAUUCGUAGAUAUUGGGAAGAACACCGGUGGCGAAGGCGGCGCUCUGGACCGAGACUGACGCUGAGGCGCGAAAGCGUGGGGAGCAAACAGG
rnacentral:rRNA from 1 species